rnacentral:sRNA from 1 species
GAAUGUGAGGGUGAUCUGGCUGUGACAUCUUCAUCUCACUGAUCACCAGGGUUGAUGCAGCUGAUAUGGCUCGCUAGGAGGGUGUCUCCUUCUCCCUCACCAUUCUAUGUGCAUCCACCCUGAUGUUGCAUGCUUGGUGGAAGAGGACAGCCAUUCCAGAUAGGAGUGUACCAUUCAAUAGCUACAGUUUGUAAAGCAGGCAGUAUCUGCUGAAUUUGUAGCACUCGUGUCCUCUUUUCCAUAUGGUAGCCCUAGGAGAGUAAGGACGUAUUUGCAGAAACUUCAGACAUAGUCAGGUCUGAAGCAGGGCAGCAAUACAGGUAUCU